GAGCUCAGAGCUACCGCUCUUCACACUUCCUGGUAGCGUCUCUCCAAAGCUCGUUCUGAUAGAUUCCCGUUCUCAGGGACUGGGGGAUGGGACGGUCAUUGCUCGAGGAAGAGGCUCCGGGGUGGCUGGUUGCCUAUUAGUUCUAAGUAUAACGUCCCAAGAGUAAAAUCUUGACCAUUUCUCAUUUGCGGAGUGUACGGAUGAGGAACCUGCGCCCUCCCCAGAUGUUGUUGAACCCCAACUCCCACCAGGUCGAGGCAGCACGGCUAAGGAUUGCCAGGGUUGAUGGGAGCUAUAGUCCAACAUUUGGCAAAGUAAAAUGUCAGGCAAAACAAAAUACAAUGGAAAAAGUAUGAAAUGCAUACACAUCAAAUCUAAAACAGAAAAACAGCACAGUAUAAAACAAAUACAAACCUUUGACAGAGGAAACAGCAGUGCAAAAGAUAUAAAAAGCACAAAAACACUUUUCUACAAGGCCUGAGGGAAUGAAAAGGUCUUUAUCCGGUGCUGAAAAGACCACCGUGUGAGCGUCAGAAAUCAGGACUAAAGAACAUAUAGCCAGGAGUUGUCUAAGCAUGAUGAAUUUGUGGCAGUCAGGAAGGGCAGUCCAUCUCCAAUAUUUCUCCUGAGCGAGCUUUCACUGUUAUUGUUGAAUACUUCGUUUCUUCAAGGCUCCUUCUACAGCCCCACAUCUGGAAGCUUUCUGAACAAUGCUGCUUUUCUCACAGCUAUAGGAUCCAUCCCAUGCCUGUUCUGUGCAGAGAUGGAAGGUGGUCCAUCCCUUGACCAGUAGCAGUGACCAAGAUGCUCCCAGCUGUUCCUCUGUGGGAUUAUCCUCUCCAUCUCCAUCCAACCAGCAACUCUUAAAUGAUGACAACAAUAUAUGAACAAGUUCAUCUUUCAAUAAAAAACCACACUUGGUAAUGUGUCUUUUCCUUUCAGGAUCUUCUCCAUCCCAGAUUUUGC